GAUUACACUGCAUUUUUGGUAGAUUUUGUGUAAGCGAAUAUCUGUUAAUUUAAAACAAAAAAAACCUACAUCUUGCUGUGAUGUUCUUUCAUCGCUAGAGAGUACAUCUUUGUUUCUCUCUUUUCUAGCUUUCUCACUUCUCUUGAAGAUAUUUAAUGGAAGCUUAAGGAUUCAGGGCAGCAGUUAAAACUGGGAAGAUCAUGCAUAAGCCUUGCAUUUGCCUUAAAUGUGUAUUUCUGAAAUGUAAGGUAGUUCAGCUUGUGAAGAGGGAUGGAUCAGACAUAACUCUUGGUAACUCCAAGCAAUCCUACGUGGAGGAAAUGACAAGCUGGGUAAAGUGAGAAACAAAUCUACAGCCUAACCUAAAUGCAAUAUGUGGGAAAAGAGCUCUACCCAGACCCUUCUCCAUCCAGGCUGAGGAAGUGAGCUACAGAUGGAUUCCAAAGGCAUCAAUUCUCAUGGGUCGUUCUUCACUGCGGUAUGCUUUGUUUGUUGAGAAUUGUAUAAACUCCAAACUCCAUAAGCAGGAGAGCAUCCAGGGAUGUUUUUUAUGGUUUCCUACCUUCCACAAGACUUUAAAUGCAAAGAACAAGAGCUGCUUUUUACAUUUUGCUUUCAUGUAUUUGGUGAGCAAAGGCGGCCUUUGCUGUGACUGCGUAACCACUGAAGGUUAAGUGACAAAGUAUUAAAUUUGAUAAUCCUUAGCAGGUAAAAUGACCACAGGCAAGCAAUAAAGUCCAUCUAUUCCCUAGAGUUCUAGUGUGC
rnacentral:lncRNA from 1 species